rnacentral:rRNA from 1 species
CCCUCGGAAAACAGAGGCUAAUCCCGAAAUACGGCUCGCCGUCUGGAGUGACGCGAGCUCGAAACGCUUUCGCGCCAGAGGAUGUGGCUGCGGCUGAUUAGGUAGACGGUGGGGUAACGGCCCACCGUGCCGAUAAUCGGUACGGGUCAUGAGAGUGAGAGCCCGGAGACGGUAUCUGAGACAAGAUACCGGGCCUUACGGGGCGCAGCAGGCGCGAAACCUUUACACUGCACGACAGUGCGAUAAGGGGACUCCAAGUGCGAGGGCAUACAGUCCUCGCUUUUUCCUACCGUAAGGUGGUAGGCGAAUAAGAGCUGGGCAAGACCGGUGCCAGCCGCCGCGGUAAUACCGGCAGCUCGAGUGAUGACCGCUAUUAUUGGGCCUAAAGCGUCCGUAGCCGGCCGGGUAAGUCCAUCGGGAAAUCCGCACGCCUAACGUGCGGGCGUCCGGUGGAAACUGCCUGGCUUGGGACCGGAAGACCAGAGGGGUACGUCCGGGGUAGGAGUGAAAUCCCGUAAUCCUGGACGGACCACCGGUGGCGAAAGCGCCUCUGGAAGACGGAUCCGACGGUGAGGGACGAAAGCUCGGGUCACGAACCGGAUUAGAUACCCGGGUAGUCCGAGCCGUAAACGAUGUCUGCUAGGUGUGCCACAAGCUACGAGCUUGUGGUGUGCCGUAGGGAAGCCGUGAAGCAGACCGCCUGGGAAGUACGUCCGCAAGGAUGAAACUUAA